rnacentral:rRNA from 1 species
UACGUAGGGUGCAAGCGUUGUCCGGCAUUAUUGGGCGUAAAGAGCUCGUAGGCGGUCUGUUGCGUCGGCUGUGAAAACCCGGGGCUCAACUCCGGGCCUGCAGCCGAUACGGGCAGACUAGAGUUCGGCAGGGGAGACUGGAAUUCCUGGUGUAGCGGUGAAAUGCGCAGAUAUCAGGAGGAACACCGGUGGCGAAGGCAGGUCUCUGGGCAUUAACUGACGCUGAGGAGCGAAAGCAUGGGGAGCGAACAGG